UGGGGAAUCUUGCACAAUGGAGGAAACUCUGAUGCAGCGACGCCGCGUGAGCGAAGAAGCCUUUCGGGGUGUAAAGCUCUUACGCCAGGGACGAUAAUGACGGUACCUGGAGAAGCAGCUGCGGCUAACUACGUGCCAGCAGCCGCGGUAAUACGUAGGCAGCGAGCGUUGUUCGGAAUUACUGGGCGUAAAGGGUGCGUAGGCGGCGCUCUAAGUUUGGUGUGAAAUCUCCCGGCUUAACUGGGAGGGUGCACUGAAAACUGGGGCGCUCGAGUAUGGGAGAGGAAAGCGGAAUUCCUGGUGUAGCGGUGAAAUGCGUAGGGAUCAGGAGGAACACCGGCGGUGCAGACGGCUUUCUGGACCAUCACUGACGCUGAGGCACGAAAGCGUGGGUAGCAAACA
rnacentral:rRNA from 1 species